rnacentral:rRNA from 1 species
CCUACGGGUGGCUGCAGUGGGGAAUAUUGGACAAUGGGCGCAAGCCUGAUCCAGCCAUGCCGCGUGAGUGAUGACGGCCUUAGGGUUGUAAAGCUCUUUCGCUCGCGACGCGGUAGCGAGAGAAGAAGCCCCGGCUAACUUCGUGCCAGCAGCCGCGGUAAUACGAAGGGGGCUAGCGUUGUUCGGAAUUACUGGGCGUAAAGCGCACGUAGGCGGAUUGUUAAGUCGGGGGUGAAAUCCUGAGGCUCAACCUCAGAACUGCCUUCGAUACUGGCAAUCUCGAGUCCGGAAGAGGUUGGUGGAACAGCUAGUGUAGAGGUGAAAUUCGUAGAUAUUAGCUAGAACACCAGUGGCGAAGGCGGCCAACUGGUCCGGACUGACGCUGAGGUGCGAAAGCGUGGGGAGCAAACAGGAUUAGAUACCCUUGUAGUC